AUGCAUGGAGGGUUCCACCCCAAAUCCAGCACCCUGAGACUGUACGCUAGCCGCAAGGAAGGAGGCCGAGGACUAGUGAGCGUGAGAGCCACUAUCCAGGAUGAAACAUCCAAGAUCCAUAAGUACAUCAAGGAUAAGGCCCCGACAGAUGACGUUCUGAGUGAAUGUCUCAGGCAGUGGAGAACAGAGGAUGAGAUGCUGGAAGAGGGACCAUCAUGGGAGGACAAGCCCUUACACGGGAUGUACCACCGGAACAUAACUGAAGUGGCUAAUCUCAACAAAUCCUACCAAUGGCUUGAAAGGGCUGGGCUGAAGGACAGCACAGAGGCACUCAUCCUGGCUGCACAGGAGCAGGCCCUGAGCACCAGAGCCAUAGAGGCCCAGAUCUACCUCACCAGACAAGACCCAAGGUGUAGACUGUGCAAAGAGGCCCCUGAGACGAUCCAGCACAUAACUGCAGGGUGUAAGAUGCUGGCAGGCAAAGCAUACAUGGAACGCCAUAACCAAGUGGCUGGCAUAGUAUACAGGAACAUCUGCGCGGAGUAUGGACUGGAAACCCCAAGGUCAAAGUGGGAAACACCUCCCAAGGUGGUAGAGAACGAGCGAGCCAAGAUCCUGUGGGACUUCCAGAUCCAGACUGACAGAAUGGUAAUGGCGAACCAACCAGACAUUGUGGUGGUGGAUAAAGAGCAGAGGAAAGCCGUAGUGGUGGAUGUGGCAAUACCAAGCGAUGGCAACAUCAGGAAAAAGGAACAUGAGAAACUAGAGAAAUACCAAGGGCUCAGAGAAGAACUGGAGAAGGCUUGGAAGGUGAAGGCCACAGUGGUGCCUGUGGUGAUCGGAGCACUGGGGGCAGUGACCCCCAAACUGGAGGAGUGGCUACGACAGAUCCCUGGAAAAACAUCCGACAUCUCAGUCCAGAAAAGUGCAGUCCUAGGAACAGCAAGGAUACUGCGCAGAACCCUCAAGCUCCCUGGCUCCCUGGAGGACCCGAGCUUGGAAAACGGAUGA
rnacentral:lncRNA from 1 species